rnacentral:rRNA from 1 species
UACGAAAGGGGCUAGCGUUGUUCGGAAUUACUGGGCGUAAAGCGCACGUAGGCGGCCUUGUAAGUUGGGGGUGAAAGCCCGGAGCUCAACUCCGGAACUGCCUCCAAAACUACAAAGCUCGAGCAUGUGAGAGGAGAGUGGAAUUCCGAGUGUAGAGGUGAAAUUCGUAGAUAUUCGGAAGAACACCAGUGGCGAAGGCGACCAACUGGCUCAUUGCUGACGCUGAGACGCGAAAGCGUGGGGAGCAAACAGG